rnacentral:rRNA from 1 species
GACGAACGCUGGCGGCGUGCCUAAUACAUGCAAGUCGAACGCAGUGGGGACGGGUGAGUAACACGUGGGUAACCUCCCCUCAGAGGGGAUAACACUUAGAAAAAGGUGCUAAACCGAUACUGAUGGAUGAACCCGCGGUGCAUUAGCUAGUUGGUGAGGUAACGGCUCACCAAGGCCACGAUGCAUAGCCGACCGUAGAGGGUGAUCGGCCACACGGGGACUGAGACACGGCCCAGACGCCUAGGGUAGGCAUCAGUAGGGAAUCUUCGGCAAUGGACGAGAGUCUAACCGAGCAACGCCGCGGGAGUGAAGAAGGGUUUCGGAUCGUAAAACUCUGUUGUUAGAGAAGCGGUAUCUAACCAGAAAGCCACGGCUAACUACGUGCCAGCAGCCGCGGUAAUAC